GUUCAUCUUCAAGGGGCAGGGUGUAAUUCCCGACCGGUGGUACAGUCCAUGACCUGUCAUUUUUGACAGCUGAUUCGGUGAAAUUCCGAAACCGAUAGUUAAAGUCUAGAUAAAGGGAGAUUGAA
rnacentral:ncRNA from 2 species